rnacentral:miRNA from 1 species
CUUUCCCCAGAGUAGAAGGCUCA